CUCAUUCGCAAACACCCUAAUCUUUCUAUUAAUAUUGUGUCAUGCAGUUCCCAUGCCCAGCAACAAUCUAUACAUAUCAAAGCCUCCUGAUAUGCUAAAAUGCUGAAAUGGUUCCAUCAAAGCUUAUAUAGUUGAACUCUUUUUUUCUAUUCAUCAUGGCCACUCUCUCAAAGGCCUACUGAGUAUUUACAGACCUGAUUUUCCAAAUGAGUGAGCUAUUUUAAACUUCCUUUGGCAUAAGCUUUCCUUGUUGUACGC
rnacentral:lncRNA from 1 species